UACGGGGGGGGGCAAGCGUUGUUCGGAAUUACUGGGCGUAAAGGGCGCGUAGGCGGUUAUGCAAGUCGGGUGUGAAAGCCCGGAGCUCAACUCCGGAAGUGCAUUCGAUACUGCGUAGCUAGAGUACUGGAGAGGAUGGUGGAACUCUCGGUGUAGAGGUGAAAUUCGUAGAUAUCGAGAAGAACACCGGUGGCGAAGGCGGCCAUCUGGACAGAUACUGACGCUGAGACGCGAAAGCGUGGGGAGCAAACAGG
rnacentral:rRNA from 1 species